AUGACUCCUGGAGCACAGAUACUAAAACUGAAACGAUACAGAGAAGAUCAGAUUGGUCCCUGCACAAGGAUGGCAUGCAAAUUCGUGAAAUGUUCCAUGUUUUU